AAGCUCACUUCAGCAGCAUGUAUACUAAAAUUGGAAAGAGAGAGAGAAGAUUAGCCUGGCCCCUGCACAAAGGUAAUAUGCAAAUACCUGAAUCAUUCUAUGUUUAA
ensembl:snRNA U6 U6 spliceosomal RNA